rnacentral:rRNA from 1 species
GAUUAGCUAGUAGGUGGGGUAACGGCUCACCUAGGCGACGAUCCCUAGCUGGUCUGAGAGGAUGACCAGCCACACUGGAACUGAGACACGGUCCAGACUCCUACGGGAGGCAGCAGUGGGGAAUAUUGCACAAUGGGCGCAAGCCUGAUGCAGCCAUCCGCGUGUAUGAAGAAGGCCUUCGGGUUGUAAAGUACUUUCAGCGGGGAGGAAGGUGUUGUGGUUAAUAACCCAGCAAUUGACGUUACCCGCAGAAGAAGCACCGGCUAACUCCGUGCCAGCAGCCGCGGUAAUACGGAGGGUGCAAGCGUUAAUCGGAAUACUGGGCGAAAGCGCACGCAGGCGGUCUGUCAAGUCGGAUGUGAAAUCCCCGGGCUCAACCUGGGAACUGCAUUCGAAACUGGCAGGCUGGAGUCUUGUAGAGGGGGGUAGAAUUCCAGGUGUAGCGGUGAAAUGCGUAGAGAUCUGGAGGAAUACCGGUGGCGAGGCGGCCCCCUGGACAAAGACUGACGCUCAGGUGCGAAAGCGUGGGGAGCAAACGGAUUAGAUACCCUGGUAGUCCACGCCGUAAACGAUGUCGAUUUGGAGGUUGUGCCCUUGAGGCGUGGCUUCCGGAGCUAACGCGUUAAUCGACCGCCUGGGGAGUACGGCCGCAAGGUUAAAACUCAAAUGAAUUGACGGGGCCCGCACAAGCGGUGGAGCAUGUGGUUUAAUUCGAUGCAACGCGAAGAACCUUACCUGGUCUUGACAUCCACAGAACUUUCCAGAGAUGGAUUGGUGCCUUCGGGAACUGUGAGACAGGUGCUGCAUGCUGUCGUCAGCUCGUGUUGUGAAAUGUGGGUUAAGUCCCGCAACGAGCGCAACCCUUAUCCUUUGUUGCCAGCGGUCCGGCCGGGAACUCAAAG